UUUGACCUCUUGACUUGCAAUUGACAGGAUGCGCAGCAAGCAGCAGAGCCCAGCCCAGCCCAGCCCUUCGCAGCCCAGCCCCGGAUCCAGCGCAGCCCACACCAGCCAGCCCAUCCCACCAGGAGAUCCAGUGCCGCGACCAGGCAGCCUAACAGAGAAGCAUUUUGAAUUUAUUUCUUUCCUUCUGUCUCUUCUCUAUCUUCUUAGCACUUUCCUAAUCUAACACAACUAACCAUCCCCUACCCCUUAACAUUGAUUUUGUUGUAAUUUCCUUGAAUUUGUGUGCUUUGUUUCAUUGUUUUGAAUUUUUACUAAUCUCGUCUCAGUUGUAUAUUUUCAGGCACUCGGACGUGGUACAACGCGGGAGCACUCAGCCAGCCUCCAGCCAGCCAGCCACAGAUGAAGAGGAAGGAGCCCAUUGCCCAGCUUUGUCUAGCGGCUUACAUUUGCCAAGGCGGAGCGUCGAUCCCACCGAGAGGUUCAGCAGCAUUCUGGGGAACAAGGAUCGACUGCGACCGCACAUGGAAGAGAGGAUAUGCGACGUGAUGCAGCCCUCUGUUCCCAGUCCUCUGAAGAGGAGUCUGCCAACCCAGGGACGGUCAGGGUUUGGCUGUUGUGGAUUCCCAGAUGAUUAGCGGACUGCAGCCUGCCAGAGGAAGUAUGCAGAGUUCAGGGACGUACUGCGGCCAACUCCGGCGUUGAAGGUACGGGGUUGGACUGGCCUGGUUGCGUGGAAGAAGAGCAGACCGUCACCAGUAGCAGCAGUUCUGUGAUGCACUGCGGUCAAUCCCUGACGUGCAGAAGUGGAGAUGUAUGCUGACCCGGGAGGAUCCCAACAGCAGUCAAGCAGAGAAGAGGAGGAUGCGCAGCAAGCAGCAGAGCCCAGCCCAGCCCUUCGCAGCCCAGCCCCAGAUCCAGCGCAGCCCACACCAGCCAGC